CGCAAUGGGGGCAACCCUGAUGGAGCAACGCCGCGUGCAGGAUGAAGGCCUUCGGGUCGUAAACUGCUUUUGUCUGUGAAGAAUAUGACGGUAGCAGACGAAUAAGGGUCGGCUAACUACGUGCCAGCAGCCGCGGUCAUACGUAGGACCCAAGCGUUAUCCGGAUUUACUGGGCGUAAAGAGUUGCGUAGGUGGCAGAGUAAGUUAGUAGUGAAAUCGUGUGGCUCAACCAUACUCACAUUGCUAAAACUGCUCAGCUUGAGGACGAGAGAGGUCACUGGAAUUCCUUGUGUAGGAGUGAAAUCCGUAGAUAUAAGGAGGAACACCGAUGGCGUAGGCAGGUGACUGGCUCGUUUCUGACACUAAGGCACGAAAGCGU
rnacentral:rRNA from 1 species